GAGUUUGAUCCUGGCUCAGAUUGAACGCUGGAGGUAUGCUUAACACAUGCAAGUCGAACGCGAACGUUUCUCCGGAAGCAAGUAGAGUGGCGGACGGGUGAGUAACGCGUAGGAAUCUACCUAUUAGUGGGGGAUAACAUGAAGAAAUUCAUGCUAAUACCGCAUGUGCCCUACGGGGUAAAGAGGGCCUCUUCUUGAAAGCUCUUGCUAGUAGAUGAGCCUGCGUCGGAUUAGUUUGUUGGUGGGGUAAUGGCCUACCAAGAUUACGAUCCGUAGCUGGUCUGAGAGGAUGAUCAGCCACACUGGGACUGAGACACGGCCCAGACUCCUACGGGAGGCAGCAGUGGGGAAUAUUGGACAAUGGGCGCAAGCCUGAUCCAGCAAUACCUCGUGUGUGAAGAAGGCCUUAGGGUUGUAAAGCACUUUCAAUUGGGACGAAGGGUGUAAGUUUAAUAAACUUAUAUCUUGACGGUACCUUUAGAAGAAGCACCGGCUAACUCCGUGCCAGCAGCCGCGGUAAUAAGGGCGA
rnacentral:rRNA from 1 species